rnacentral:tRNA from 1 species
GCGCCCGUAGCUCAGGGGAUAGAGCACCGGAUUCCUAAUCCGGGUGUCGCAGGUUCAAAUCCUGCCGGGCGUA